UACGUAGGGUCCGAGCGUUGUCCGGAAUUAUUGGGCGUAAAGGGCUCGUAGGCGGUUUGUCGCGUCGGGAGUGAAAACUCAGGGCUCAACCCUGAGCGUGCUUCCGAUACGGGCAGACUAGAGGACGGUAGAGGCGUGUGGAAUUCCGGGUGUAGUGGUGAAAUGCGUAGAGAUCCGGAGGAACACCAGUGGCGAAGGCGACACGCUGGGCCGUACCUGACGCUAAAGCGCGACAGCAUGGGGAGCAAACGGG
rnacentral:rRNA from 1 species